rnacentral:rRNA from 1 species
GAUGAACGCUGGCGGCGUGCUUAAUACAUGCAAGUCGAGCGAACAGACCCGGCGCUUGCUCCUUCGACGUUUGCCGCGCACGGGUGUGAAACACGUAUGAACCCUCCUUAUCAGUCUGGGAUAUUCUCGGGACACCGGAGCAAACCCCGUAUAAUAUUCCGAACCGCAUUGUUCGAUAGAGAAAUACGGCUUUGCUAUAACUAAUCGCUGGACCUGCGCCGUAUGAGCUAGUUGGUAAGGUAACGGCUUACCAAGGCAACGAUACGUAGCCGACCUGAGAGGGUGAUCGGCCACACUGGAACUGGGACACGGACCAUAGGCCUACGGGAGGCAGCAGUAGGGAACCUUCCGCAAUAGGCGAAAGCCUGACGGAGCAACGCCGCGUGAGUGAUGAAGGUCUUCGGAUCGUAAAACUCUGUUAUUAGGGAAGAACAAACGUGUAAGUAACUGUGCACGUCGUGACGGUACCUAAUCAGAAAGCCACGGCUAACUACGUG